rfam:Lactobacillus brantae DSM 23927 Scaffold1, whole genome shotgun sequence.
GUUGCAGUAGCUCAGUUGGAUAGAGCAAUGGUCUUCUAAACCAUCGGUCAUGGGUUCGAAUCCCAUCUGCAGCA